UUGGUGGGGUAACGGCCUACCAAGGCGACGACGGGUAGCCGGCCUGAGAGGGUGAACGGCCACACUGGAACUGAGACACGGUCCAGACUCCUACGGGAGGCAGCAGUGGGGAAUUUUGGGCAAUGGGGGAAACCCUGACCCAGCGACGCCGCGUGAGGGAAGACAGCCUUCGGGUUUUAAACCUCUUUUGUACGGGAAGAUAAUGACGGUACUGUACGAAUAAGUCCCGGCUAACUACGUGCCAGCAGCCGCGGUAAUACGUAGGGGACGAGCGUUGUCCGGAAUUACUGGGCGUAAAGGGCGCGCAGGCUGCGUUACAAGUCAGCUGUUAAAUGCAUGGGCUUACCCCAUGAGUGCGGUUGAAACUGUAGUGCUAGAGUACUGUAGAGGCAAGCGGAAUUCCCAGUGUAGCGGUGAAAUGCGUAGAUAUUGGGAGGAACACCGGUGGCGUAGGCGGCUUGCUGGACAGUAACUGACGCUGAGGCGCGAAAGCCAGGGGAGCAAACGGGAUUAGAUACCCCGGUAGUUCUGGCCGUAAACGAUGAAUGCUAGGUGUGGGUGUAGCGAUACAUCUGUGCCGUAGUUAACGC
rnacentral:rRNA from 1 species